ensembl:rRNA 5S_rRNA 5S ribosomal RNA
GUCUACAGCCAUACCACCCUGAACGCGCCCGAUUUCAUCUGAUCUCGGAAGCUAAGCAGUGUUGGGCCUGGUUAGUACUUGGAUGGGAGAAAACUGCAAGAGAGUAGAGA